UACCUGCAGCUCGAGUGGUAACCGCUAUUAUUGGGCCUAAAGCGUCCGUAGCCGGUUUGGUAAAUAUCUGGGUAAAUCGUGAGGCUUAACUUCACGAAUUUCGGAUAGACUGCCAGACUUGGGAUCGGGGGAGGUCAGAGGUACUCCAGGGGUAGCGGUGAAAUGUUGUAAUCCUUGGAGGACCACCGGUAGCGAAGGCGUCUGACUAGAACGAGUCCGACGGUGAGGGACGAAGCCCUGGGGCGCAAACCAGAUUAGACACCCGGGUAGUCCAGGGUGUAAACGAUGUGGGCUUUGUAUUGGAGGUCCCACGUGGGCGUCCAGUGCAGAAGAGAAGUUGUUAAGCCCACCGCCUGGGAAGUACGGUCGCAAGGCUGAAACUUAAAGGAAUUGGCGGGGGAGCACAGCAACGGGAGGAGCGUGCGGUUU
rnacentral:rRNA from 1 species